rnacentral:rRNA from 1 species
AUCAGAAGUGCGAAUGCUGACAUAAGUAACGAUAAAGCGGGUGAAAAGCCCGCUCGCCGGAAGACCAAGGGUUCCUGUCCAACGUUAAUCGGGGCAGGGGGAGUCGACCCCUAAGGCGAGGCCGAAAGGCGUAGUCGAUGGGAAACAGGUUAAUAUUCCUGUACUUGGUGUUACUGCGAAGGGGGGACGGAGAAGGCUAUGUUAGCCGGGCGACGGUUGUCCCGGUUUAAGCAUGUAGGCUGGUUAUCCAGGCAAAUCCGGAUAACCAAGGCUGAGGUGUGAUGACGAGGCACUACGGUGCUGAAGUAACAAAUGCCCUGCUUCCAGGAAAAGCCUCUAAGCAUCAGGUAACAUCAAAUCGUACCCCAAACCGACACAGGUGGUCAGGUAGAGAAUACCAAGGCGCUUGAGAGAACUCGGGUGAAGGAACUAGGCAAAAUGGUGCCGUAACUUCGGGAGAAGGCACGCUGGUGUGUAGGUGAAGCCCCUGCGGGUGGAGCUGAGACCAGUCGAAGAUACCAGCUGGCUGCAACUGUUUAUUAAAAACACAGCACUGUGCAAACACGAAAGUGGACGUAUAC